rnacentral:rRNA from 1 species
UACGUAGGGUGCGAGCGUUAAUCGGAAUUACUGGGCGUAAAGCGUGCGCAGGCGGUUUUGUAAGCCAGAUGUGAAAGCCCCGGGCUCAACCUGGGAAUGGCAUUUGGGACUGCAAGGCUUGAGUGCGGCAGAGGAGACUGGAAUUCCUGGUGUAGCAGUGAAAUGCGUAGAUAUCAGGAGGAAUACCGAUGGCGAAGGCAGGUCUCUGGGCUGACACUGACGCUCAUGCACGAAAGCGUGGGAGCGAAACAAA